GUCCAAGCAUCUCAUGCUUUCCUUUUCUACUACACCACUCUAAAUCCAGCCCAAGAACAUUCUCUGCUUUUAAGGGCAGAGAUUACGCCCACUUGGAUGAUCCAGGUUAAUCUCCUUAUUUUGAGGCCCUAAAAUUUAAUUGCAUCGGCCAUCUUGGAUGUGGCUUUCACUAUUUUAAGGCAAAAAUUACAAAAUACGUUAUGUAAUUCAUAACAUAAUCACAGGGUCCAGGGAUUAGGAUGCAGACAUCUUUCAGGGCCAUUCUGCCUAUUACAGCUCCCUCGAGGUCGUGGUGCUCAACCCCACUAAACACAAGUGGGGACAGUGAGGCCCAGAAAGCCAGCUUCAGGCUGUUUACCCAAAGUCUCCCAACCAGCAUGUUGUGAAGCUAGGAACAAAUGCCAGAUCUAAUUGCAAUAUUUUGCCGUCCAUUACCAGAUUACACAGUCUAGUAACACCAGGAUCUGCCCGGAGCUCUACCAAGUCUACAAUGCACUUUCGAGCCCGUUUUCUCACUUUAUCCUCUCAAAAUCCCGGGCAGGUAUUCAGAAGUGGAAUUACUGGGUCUCCUUGAUCCACCAGAACACUGAGUCCCAAACUGCAGCACUUGUGCAAGCAGGAUCUCCCCAGUCUUUCCCGUUAGCGUGUCUACAACAUAAACCUACCCACUUAUCCCUUCCAGACAGCACAUGUCAGGGUAAAGCAAAAUGUCUCGAGGCCUUGCUGGGAGGCAGGCCCUGGGAGGGACGUGGGGACCCACGGAGGCGAGGAACUGUUGUCUCGUGGCCCUAGAUCACGGUGUUUGGUGUAACUGCAUUUCUGGUAAAAGCCACUUUUGCAACUCUGUGUUAAAACCCAUGCCCUGAAAACUUGGUAGGCAUGCCGGCCUCCGCCUGAAGUACCCCUGAACACUGGCAAAGACGGGAGCCAACGGGAAGGACGAGGAGCGUGCACAACUGCGCAUGCGCGACCCCCGAAACCCGGCACGAGACCCGGAGGGACGCGCGCGCGCUCCAGCUUGAGGUUUUCCACCGGGGGCGUGAACGUAAAGGGUCCCGGUUUGUCGUGAAACGGGCAGCAAAGAAGCAGAACGCUGGUUGACGGCUAGAGGGCCAUCUUGGACGUGGCUUUCACAAUUUUCAGGCGAAAAGUUUUGGAAAGUAAAGUUUUAUUAAAAAGUGGACAAAACUGAAGAACUGUUGCUCGUCACGGUGACGCUUCCGCCGCGCUCGGCGCUCGCUGGCGGCCGGCCGGCCUCUCGGGCGCGCUGACCGGGCCGCGGGGCGGUGGCGGCGGCGGCGCGAUGCGGCCCGUGGACGCGGACGACGGCCGGGAGCCCGAGCGGGACUGGGAGACGCUCCCGAGCCCCCUCUCGACGCCGCCCGCCGGGACGCCGCCGCCCUCGAGCGCGAGCACGUGCGCGCGCACCUGCGGGCCCGCCGGAAGCUGCUGGAGAUCGACAGCCUGCUGGACGCCCUCAAGAGCGAGGUGGAGGCGUCGCAGGAGAGCGCCGUGGGCGCCGGGGCGGAGGAGAGGGUGAUGAGGCUGUGCGAGAAGGUGGAGAGGAAGGCGGCGGAGGCGGCGCUGAUGGGGCAGAGGCUCGUGGAGCUCCACCGGCAGAUCGACGGCUGCGGGUGCGGCUGAAGGACGGGGCCGGUGAGGCCGCGCUCAGCUUUUCGCUUGGACGGUUUCCCUCCUUUUACGUUGGUUCACUGUCAGGCUCUGGUUGACUGGUUGGCUGACACCCUGGAAAAGCUGAAACCUGAGAGCCUUUUUUUCACUUUUUGGUUUGCUGCCUGUGUCCUUUCUGCAUAGAACUCUAAGACCCAUAUGGUCUGUGGUGACACUGUGUGGAUAAUGAUUGCCAAAUGUAUUCGGUUCUGGAAAGAACUUUUACUUGGGAAAGGCUCUCAAGGGAAUUUGAAUCUACAUUGUAAAUUAAUGAGUGGUCAUGUUUUUUAUUCUUGGAAUUUCUCAAUGUUUUAAAAUGUUGCUGCUUCUGUGACCUAAUCACUGCUGGAAACCUUGGGACAAGCAAAACACGUGUCUGUUUUCAAACAGUGGAGUUAUCAGAGGAGCUCUGCCUGCGUCAUUGGAAGAUGCCCCUGGAAAAGGGCUGGGAGAUGGUUUUGUGUAUUAAGUGUUUGCUUAAGAUCUAAGACCCAUAUAUAUUGAUCCAGAUAAACCGAAGCCCUUUAACUUUGCUAGGCAAAAGACAAUAAAAAAUCUUCCUCAGGA